rnacentral:rRNA from 1 species
GAUGAACGCUGGCGGCGUGCCUAAUACAUGCAAGUCGAGCGAACAGACGAGGAGCUUGCUCCUCUGACGUUAGCGGCGGACGGGUGAGAAACACGGGGAUAACCUACCUUAAAGACGGGGAUAAUUUGGGGAAACCGGAGCUAAUACCGGAUAGUAUAUUGAACCGCAUGGUUCAAUAGUGAAAGACGGUUUUGCUGUCACUUAUAGAGGGAUCCGCGCCGCAUUAGCUAGUUGGUAAGGUAACGGCUUACCAAGGCAACGAUGCGUAGCCGACCUGAGAGGGUGAUCGGCCACACUGGAACUGAGACACGGUCCAGACUCCUACGGGAGGCAGCAGUAGGGAAUCUUCCGCAAUGGGCGAAAGCCUGACGGAGCAACGCCGCGUGAGUGAUGAAGGUCUUCGGAUCGUAAAACUCUGUUAUUAGGGAAGAACAAAUGUGUAAGUAACUAUGCACGUCUUGACGGUACCUAAUCAGAAAGCCACGGCUAACUACGUG